GGAUGUGAGGGUGUUCUGGCUGCAACCUCUAUCACCCCAUUGAUCUCCAGGGUUUAUUCAGCUGAUCUGGCUAGCUAGGCGGGUGUCCCCUUCCUCCCUCAAUGCUCUAUGUGCAUCCCACCAAUGGAAGAGGAAGACCACCUCAAUAGAUGAGGACCAUUUCCUUGGUCAAGGGUAUAAGAGUAGCUGCGAUCCCCUGCUAGAACUUCCAAACAAGCUCUCAAAGGGCUGGGGAUUUAGCCCAGUGGUUCC
rfam:Heterocephalus glaber contig91199, whole genome shotgun sequence.